UCCAGACUCCUACGGGAGGCAGCAGUGGGGAAUAUUGCACAAUGGGGGGAACCCUGAUGCAGCAAUGCCGCGUGGGUGAAGAAGCACUCCGGUGCGUAAAGCCCUGUCAGCAGGGAAGAAAAUGACAGUACCUGACCAAGAAGCCCCGGCUAACUACGUGCCAGCAGCCGCGGUAAUACGGAGGAUGCGAGCGUUAUCCGGAUUUAUUGGGUUUAAAGGGUGCGUAGGCGGAUUUUUAAGUCAGCGGUAAAAUGUCCGGGCUCAACCCGGGCCGGCCGUUGAAACUGGGGAUCUUGAGUGGGCGAGAAGUAUGCGGAAUGCGUGGUGUAGCGGUGAAAUGCAUAGAUAUCACGCAGAACUCCGAUUGCGAAGGCAGCAUACCGGCGCCCGACUGACGCUGAGGCACGAAAGCGUGGGGAUCGAACAGGAUUAGAUACCCGAGUA
rnacentral:rRNA from 1 species